UUCUCGUUCAAUGCCAAGAGUAACCAUUGGCCAGUAUCAGGAAGAGGAGAUGCGUCACUGUGCCAAUCGAGACCGAGGACGGCAGUGACGAAUCGAACGGAGAGGGCUUCGAAGAGCAGAGCGGCGAGCAUAAAGAGCAUGGAUGAUAGAAAUGGAAUGGCGGAACGGAACUCGGAGGACCAGUGCUUGUAGAAGGGAACACGAACGACGGCGGCAAGGGCAAGGAGGGACCAGAGGGCUGGCUGAAGACGGGAAUGCCAUGCCGGCGAAAGGUGGCUGAGGUAGUCGAUGGAGACAUAUGAUAUGGCGAUGAGGCCAAGCCCGCCGAUCUUCG
rnacentral:misc_RNA from 1 species